rnacentral:rRNA from 1 species
GACGAACGCUGGCGGCGUGCCUAAUACAUGCAAGUCGAACGCUUCUUUCCUCCCGAGUGCUUGCACUCAAUUGGAAAGAGGAGUGGCGGACGGGUGAGUAACACGUGGGUAACCUACCCAUCAGAGGGGGAUAACACUUGGAAACAGGUGCUAAUACCGCAUAACAGUUUAUGCCGCAUGGCAUAAGAGUGAAAGGCGCUUUCGGGUGUCGCUGAUGGAUGGACCCGCGGUGCAUUAGCUAGUUGGUGGGGUAACGGCCUACCAAGGCGACGAUCAGUAGCCGGACUGAGAGGUUGAACGGCCACAUUGGGACUGAGAUACGGCCCAG